GGAAGGACCAUAGCUCAGUAGGUAGAGUAUCUGUUUUGCAUGCAGGAGGCUCCAGGUUCAAUCCCUGGCAUUUCCA